UUCCUGAUCCUCAACACCCUCCACCACAUCCUGACCCUUCAUGUAUCAUGUAUGUCUUUUCUGUUCCUCAUACAGGGUUCAGAUGACUGCAGGUCUGAGGCACGGGCUCCCUCCACUAUGACGGUGGCUUGGCAUUCGGGACACCAGCUUCAGAUGGUGGCAGAGCUCUGGAGGCUGAGGAAAGGAGCCGAGUCCUUUCAGAAAACGUUAUCUGGUUAUAUUAUCCAAAAUCAAGACUUUUCACCUCAAAACUGGCUUGG